rnacentral:snRNA from 1 species
AAAUUAGAGCUCAAAAGAGUCAUU